UAAGUUUGAGUGUUCUUCUAAAUCAAGUUCCAAUAAUGUAGUAAUGCUAAAAAAUUAAUUUGGAAAUUUUUCUAUAAAAAAAUAAUUUCUCAAUUACAAGACAUUCAAACUGUCAAAUUUUUUUUCAAACAUCUUCAACAUGUAGCAUUUGCAAUGCUUUCUUUGUUAAUUCUUCUUUUAAAUUGUAUUCUUGUGACAUAUCUAAUAAAAAUUAUUUUAAAAUAAGAGAAUAUUUUAUCAAU
rnacentral:lncRNA from 1 species